UACGAAGGGGGCGAGCGUUGUUCGGAAUUACUGGGCGUAAAGGGCGCGCAGGCGGCUUUGAAAGUCAGAUGUGAAAGCCCCGGGCUUAACCUGGGAAUUGCAUUUGAUACUCUGGAGCUUGAGUGUGGGAGAGGAGAGUGGAAUUCCCAGUGUAGAGGUGAAAUGUGUUGAUAUUGGAAGGAACGCCGGUGGCGAAAGCGACACACUGGGUCUCAACUGACGCUGAGGCACGAAAGCCAGGGGAGCGAACGGG
rnacentral:rRNA from 1 species